AGCAGUCAGGAGUCUGCACCUAAAGUGUCUGCUGUAAAUGUGGCUGAAGAGUUACAGCCCUCGACGGACGAUUCACCAAUCAGAAAAUGGUGCUCUCUAGAUCUAGAUGGUGCCCUAUCCGUUUUGACUGGUGAAAGUGACAGUUCUCUAUUUCAUGUUUGUUGCGGAGUUUCAGAAAGAAAUGCAGGUAAAAGAAAAAAAUGGUCGUGAGGAAGCUGGAGCAAAGGACACAAGGCAGGGACAACCUUUCUACAGGAUGCCAGUCCUGAUUUAAUAGAAUUGAUAAAGGAAAUCCAGCAGAAUUUGUUUGUCCGAACGACGAAUCGUGUCAACUGAAAGACCUGUGGAAAUUAAGGGGAAAUGCGUUUAAGACUGAAGCCAGAAAGCACUUCUUUAUGCAAAAAGAGUUACGGAAAUCUGAAACUAACUAUUGAGGCAUGGAGCUGCAGCAGAAACCUUUGACAACCUUCACGAGGUGUCUGGAUGAGAUGUUGGAACAUUUUAGCAAUUAGCUAAACAAAUAAGCUUGAUAGGCCGAAUGGUUUCCUCUCAUUUGCCAAACUUCUUAUGUUAUUCAAGAGUCCAAAGAGAGUAACAAAGAUGUAUAUGUAGAAAAGGGCCUAGAAGAGGAAGUGUCAGAUUUCUUAUAUCAUAUUAUAUUAUAUUAUAUUAUAUUAUAUUAUAAAACCUGCUUAAUGUAUUAUAUU